UACGGGGGGGAGCAAGGCGUUGUUCGGAUUUACUGGGCGUAAAGGGCGCGGUAGGCGGCCACUGCAAGUCGGUUGUGAAAUCUCCGGGCUUAACCCGGAAAGGUCAAUCCGAUACUGCAGGGCUAGAGUGCGGAAGGGGCAACUGGAAGUUCUCGGUGUAGCGGUGAAAUGACGUAGAUAUCGAGAGGAACACCUGCGGCGAAGGCGGGUUGCUGGGCCGACACUGACGCUGACAGCGCGAAAGCUAGGGGAGCGAACGGG
rnacentral:rRNA from 1 species